rnacentral:lncRNA from 1 species
UCUGCGCCAACUUUCGAAUAUGGCGUCAGCGUCCGACGUCCACCUUAAUGGGGGUCAUUCUGUCCCACAAACACUACUGUUGUCUCAUUGGCAAUCAUACAACAUCUACUUUUUUAUAUUAUAUAUAUAUUAUCUAUACGUAUAUAUUUUCUAUAUACGAAUUUUACAUGUUUAGAUGAUGCAAUGAAAAUUCAGAAGAUAUGUGGUAAUAUUGCCAAUGAGAAACUUAUCCACCAAAGACAAACGAAUGUGAAUCAGCCAUGAGUUACACAUAUGUAUUCAUGUAAAAUGCUAUUAAAACCCAUUCCUGACUAGAUGUGACGAAAAACGAAAACUAACAGCCCGAUUAAUGCUGAAACGAUAAACGUAAAAUCAAUAUCAAAGACAGC